rnacentral:lncRNA from 1 species
GGGAUUCCUACCUCAGUGAUCCCUGCUGAGCCUGGCUGUUGUCUGUGGUCCAGAAGGUUCCUUUACCUGACUCACUCCUCUCAGAUCAUGUCCAAAUACCAGGAGACUGACCCAGGUCCUCACCAGUCAGGCCAGCUCCUCUGCAGGUCUCAGUCCUGUUUAUUGCCUUGAGGAUCACCAUCAUGGACCAAGCAGUUUCCCAGCAUGGAUCCUGGCCCUUCUUAUACUCAGCCUCCAGACCCUUAUGUGGGGAGCUGGGGCUAAAGUCUAUAAGCUGUGUUCCUGGAGUUCCAGAGUCACUACUAGACUACGAAGGAGCAAAGCAUGGAGUCGUCUUGCUCUUUCGAGGACUUAGGAGGGGAAAAUGGAAACUUGAUUAAGGAGAACUUCUCCUGGGUUCAUCUAUGGUGGCAGCAUGGAGUUUUGUAAUAUACCACUAGCAUGCAGUGCUCAACCACAACUUUUAAAAUUGUUAUGGGCAAAGUGCCAGGAAACUGCUAACUGGUUAAAAUUUAAUUUUGGCUGGUAAAAUUUUCAGCCUUUAUUUUUAUUUUUGAGACAGAGUCUCACUCUGUCGCCC